AGUGCCUCCUUAAGUCUGUGUUUAGGGCUCAGCUCUACUUGCACUUUCAGAGGGCUGAAUCUGGUCUCUGAUGCCAUGGCAUGGAUUUCAUGACCUACCGCAGCGCCAGCUCUGCAUUCCUGCAAGGUGACGUGGAGAGCAUACCAAUGUGUGCAAGGAUGGCCCGUAUACCUGGUUUGUGAUGAUGACAAAUGGCCAAACUGUAACUCUGCCAACUGGAGCCACCUCCCUACCCACCAGAACUCAGCCGCUUCCAAUGAAACAUCAGGAGAGACCAUUUUCCAGCAAGCACUUUGCAACAACAUCAUUUACACAAUUCAGAAGCAGCCAACCAGAUUUUUGUUGAGCUCUUCGAAGGCUAUUAUUGGUGUCCCUAGGGUUUCCUUGAGGUGCAGAUAGUAAGUUGGCUCUAACAAUACUCGUCAGAGCCAAAGCAAGUGAUGGCUUCCCUUGCUGUUCCCUUCCCAUCCCCAUUCCCUUGGCAUGGGCUCAAGCACGAAGAAGGUAUGAAGCCACUGAGAAGGAGAAGAGGUGACAGGAAUUCAAAUGGCAAACAAUCCAGCAUUAGCUGCUGUGGGGAGGUGCCUCAGAGAGCUACCGCGAAUUUCAGUUUGGAGUGCCUGGAUGAUACCUCCUUCCUCAUGUGGCCUAGCAAGGCUACAGGUAAUACCUACUGAAAGUUUUCACCCCAGGGUGCCCUGCUCGGCUGCACCCCACUCUGCCCACCAGCUCACAGGGUGCUGCCUGGGCCAAGCACCCUCUCCUGCUGCGAAGGACCCUUUGCUUCUCAUGUCAGCAGGUAUCCAACACUUCAACAGCCUCCUUUGCCCUGGAGACACCCAAAUUGCCAAAGACCAAUAGAGGUUGUAGUGUGAUUCAAACCGACUCUUUUUGGAAACAUUGCACUGUUACAAAACAGAGCAAGAAACUUGUUUUCUAGGAAAAAGAAUUCUCGUUAGAUGAAAACUACAUGGAAAUAGCUAUGAAAAACACAUCAGAACUGUACUGCAGGGCUUUAGUGGCAUUUUUCUCAUACUCAUUAUUGAAAUUAAUUCACAAAACUUGCCACAAUAUGCUGAUAGGUUGUAGCUGUAAUACUUUAAGCUGUUGUUAGGAAUUCAAAACAUGACAAUCAAAACAGUUUUCUUCACAUACGAUUAGAACAUUUAUUUGCUUGUUCGAUGCAAAA